ACCCAGGCUGGAUGAUGAGGGUAGUGGGGUAAACAGGAAUGUUGUCAUGCAGGGGAGGCUGGCCACGCCUCCUGAUGCAGGCAUCCAGGCCAUGUGGGAGAAUGUAACUAGCAGAGGCAGGGUGCCUGGAGAAGAAAUAAAGAGCCUGUACCUGAGGAACCCCAGGAUAGGGAGUGGGCUCUGCAGCAGUGGAAAUGGGGAUCACUAGUGGAUUGAUCAGGGUCUCCAGUUCUCUCUCCGCAAGAAGACAGCCAUGUAUGAACCAAGAAACGGGCCCUCACCAGAACCUGACCAUGCUGGCACCUCGAUCUUGGACUUCCCAGCCUUCAGACCUGUGAGAAAUAAAUUUCUGCUGUUCAUAAGCCACCCA
rnacentral:lncRNA from 10 species